rnacentral:rRNA from 1 species
CAAGUCGAGCGGAAACGACAUCUUCGGAUGGGCGUCGAGCGGCGGACGGGUGAGUAAUGCCUAGGAAUCUGCCCUUUUGUGGAGGAUAACCCGGGGAAACUCGGGCUAAUACUGCAUAAUCUCUACGGAGCAAAGCGGGGCUCUUCUACCCUCGCGCAGAAGGAUGAGCCUAGGUCUGAUUAGCUUGUUGGUGGGGUAACGGCCUACCAAGGCGACGAUCAGUAGCUGGUCUGAGAGGAUGAUCAGCCACACCGCGACUGAGACACGGCCAAGACUCCUACGGGAGGCAGCAGUGGGGAAUAUUGGACAAUGGGCGAAAGCCUGAUCCAGCCAUGCCGCGUGUGUGAAGAAGGCCUUAGGGUUGUAAAGCACUUUAAGCAGGAAAGAAAAGCGCCGGAUUAAUACUCCGAGCGUAUUGACGGUACCUGCAGAAUAAGCACCAGCUAACUCCGUGCCAGCAGCCGCGGUAAUACGGAGGGUGCAAGCGUUAAUCGGAAUUACUGGGCGUAAGGCGUGCGUAGGCGGUUGCGUGUGUCGGAUGUGAAAGCCCCGGGCUCAACCUGGGAAUUGCAUUCGAAACUGCGUGACUAGAAU